AAAACGACUCUCGGCAACGGAUAUCUCGGCUCUCGNAUCGAUGAAGAACGUAGCGAAAUGCGAUACUUGGUGUGAAUUGCAGAAUCCCGUGAACCAUCGAGUCUUUGAACGCAAGUUGCGCCCGAAGCCAUCAGGCCGAGGGCACGUCUGCCUGGGCGUCACGC
rnacentral:rRNA from 1 species